rnacentral:rRNA from 1 species
UACGAAGGGGGCAAGCGUUGUUCGGAUUUACUGGGCGUAAAGGGCGCGCAGGCGGCUCGCCAAGUCAGAUGUGAAAGCCCCGGGCUCAACCUGGGAACUGCAUUUGAGACUGGAUGGCUUGAGAUUGGGAGAGGGAUGCGGAAUUCCAGGUGUAGCGGUGAAAUGCGUAGAUAUCUGGAGGAACACCGGUGACGAAGGCGGCAUCCUGGACCAACACUGACACUGAGGAGCGAAAGCCAGGGGAGCAAACGGG